AGUCGCGGUAAUACGUAGAAGACUAGUGUUAUUCAUCUUUAAUAGGUUUAAAGGGUACCUAGACGGUAAAUCAAGCCUUCAAGGGGACUAGUUUACUAGAGUUACUUGUGAGGGGGUAUUAAAGUACUGCUGGUGUAGAGAUGAAAUUCUGUGAUACCUCUUUUCGUAAGAAAAAUAAUGGCACAGGUAUAGGCGAAAGCAUCCCCUUAUGUGAUAACUGACGUUGAAGGACGAAGGCUUUGUGUAGCGAACAGGAUUAGAUACCCCAGUAGUCAAAGCAGAAAAUGAUGAAUGUCAUAGAUUAGACAUAUAAUAGUUUAUUCUAUAAAUGAAAGUGUAAGCAUUCCACCUCAAGAGUAAUUUGGCAACAUUGGAACUGAAAUCAUUAGACCGUUUCUGAAACCAGUAGUGAAGUAUGUUGUUUAAUUUGAUAAUCCACAAAAAACCUUACCACAAUUUGAAUAUUUAUAUUAUUUUUCUCAUCUAUUAUAUUUUAUAAAAAUAAUACAUUUACAAGCGUUGCACGGCUGUCUUCAGUUAAUGUCGUGAGACUUUGGUUAGUUCCAUUAAAUUAACGUAAACCCUCACUUUAUUUUUAUAUAAAGUAGUUCCCCACUAGAUUGGAUAAGAUAACAGGGACUAAGACAAGUCAUCAUGGCCUAAAUAUUGUGGGCUAUA
rnacentral:rRNA from 1 species